AUUGAACGCUGGCGGCAGGCUUAACACAUGCAAGUCGAACGGGAAUUACUUUAUUGAAACUUCGGUCGAUUUAAUUUAAUUCUAGUGGCGGACGGGUGAGUAACGCGUGGGUAACCUGCCUUAUACAGGGGGAUAACAGUCAGAAAUGACUGCUAAUACCGCAUAAGCGCACAGAGCUGCAUGGCUCAGUGUGAGAAACUCCGGUGGUAUAAGAGGGACCCGCGUUGGAUUAGCUAGUUGGUGAGGUAACGGCCCACCAAGGCGACGAUCCAUAGCCGGCCUGAGAGGGUGAACGGCCACAUUGGGACUGAGACACGGCCCAGACUCCUACGGGAGGCAGCAGUGGGGAAUAUUGCACAAUGGGGGAAACCCUGAUGCAGCGACGCCGCGUGAAGGAAGAAGUAUCUCGGUAUGUAAACUUCUAUCAGCAGGGAAGAAAAUGACGGUACCUGACUAAGAGGCCCCGGCUAACUACGUGCCAGCCGCCGCGGUAAUAC
rnacentral:rRNA from 1 species